UCAUCGUUCAAAAACUACGUAAAGAAUUUGUAUAUUACAUUUUUAUUUAAAGGAAAACGUUUAAAGAAUAAAUCACACAAAGCCGAUCGAUUCACUUACAAACCACAAUAAUGUACGAUAUUUGUUCAGCAUGCAUAUUUUUAAUUGUACACAACACACAUAUUAAUUUCAGUAAUAAUAUAUAAUCCCUCUCCAGUUUCCACAAACCUUUUUUAUUAUCUUCAUGUUUGCAUACUAAAAAAAAAAUCUGAUAAUGGGGACGAGUGUCCCGCUGUUGUAAGUGUAAAGGUAGGAAGGUAGGAUACGUAGUUGUUUAAUUUAUAUCUGUAACCAAUGAUAAAUCAUUGCCAACGAAAAACGAUUCGAAGCAAAG